GACGAACGCUGGCGGCGUGCCUAAUACAUGCAAGUAGAACGCUGAAGAGAGGAGCUUACUCUUCUUGGAUGAGUUGCGAACGGGUGAGUAACGCGUAGGUAACCUGCCUUGUAGCGGGGGAUAACCAUUGGAAACGAUAGCUAAUACCGCAUAACAAUGGAUGACACAUGUCAUUUAUUUGAAAGGGGCAAUUGCUCCACUACAAGAUGGACCUGCGUUGUAUUAGCUAGUAGGUGAGGUAAUGGCUCACCUAGGCGACGAUACAUAGCCGACCUGAGAGGGUGAUCGGCCACACUGGGACUGAGACACGGCCCAGACUCCUACGGGAGGCAGCAGUAGGGAAUCUUCGGCAAUGGGGGCAACCCUGACCGAGCAACGCCGCGUGAGUGAAGAAGGUUUUCGGAUCGUAAAGCUCUGUUGUAAGUCAAGAACGGGUGUGAGAGUGGAAAGUUCACACUGUGACGGUAGCUUACCAGAAAGGGACGGCUAACUACGUG
rnacentral:rRNA from 1 species